GAAAUGACGAGGGGUUUCUGGUAUUUUUCCAGAUGCCAUAAGAGGCUUACAGCUAAUAUAUGGGUAGGCAUCUUCUUCAUCAAAACCACGAAAGACAUCUGGUUUGGCAAUUGGCAGCUUCUUCAUCAAAAGCACAACAGAUAAGCGAGGCAUCAACUAGCUUAUUCGGCAUUCACGGUCCAGCAGGUUUAUAUAUCUAUCUCUCUCUCUACUAGUAGUCUCUACCCAACAACACUGAAACCCACAAACCCAGUGGACAUGGGUUCUCGAUCUCAGAAAUGAAUCAGAGAGAGAGAUGACAAGGAGGAGGAAGAGCCCAUUUUAUUAGUAUAGCAAACCCAGAGAUUCUGUAUGUUUCCCAUCACGUACCAGCAACUUUGGGAGAUGUACAACAAGGCUGAGGCUAGUUUUGGACUGCUGAGGAGGUUGAUCUCUCCCAGGAUGUACAACAAUGGGAAGCUCUGACUGACUCCAAGAAACACUUUAUAAGUCCUGGCAUUUUUGAGGCAAAGGUAAGGCCAAGGUUGCUCGACCUGGUUCUCUACCUCCCGCUGCUCUGAAGGUUGGUGGUGGAACGAUGAAACUUGGCCCAGUCAAAACAAAGAUGCCUUCAGAACUGAGAGUAAGUUUUUCAAUUCAUAGUUGUUCUCUAUAGGCUUAUUCUUAUUCAUAGUAAAAUCUUAUAUCAUUGUCUGAGUUAUAUAAAAUAAAACUUAUUAAUUGUAUUGCCUCUUUUCUUGUUCUUGGUUGAAAACUUUAGAACUCAUCAAUUGUUAACUGUCCAACUCAAUGUACUAUUUGUUAUUUUGCUUGUUGGUUAUUUGGAGUUGCAUCUAUGCUAGGUCUCAGUUGGUAUUGGAAUACAAAACUUAUGUAAGUAUAUAACUGCUCAUUAGAUAAGGAAUAGUUCUUAGCUUUAGAUGAAAUCUUAGAAUGUCGAGUUCUAUAUAAUUAUCUAGACAUCCUUGUUCUUAGAUAUAUUGAUCUGUUGUUACUUAUAAAUUGGAGGUUUUUAAGACUUGAGAGUCGCAAGAUGUACAAAAAUGAGUUGAGAGGGCUUGCUCGCUGCUGUCUUUUGUUCAAGUGCUAUUUCCAUAAGAACCUAUUUCAAGGAGGAGCAACCUACAGCAAUGGAGACAUAGGAAUAUGCUCUUGUUCAUUUUAACCGAGCUGUUUUUGGAAUUUUUGGGAUUUGUUAGGCUACACCAAAACUUAGUGAAGACAAAGUUAGCCAGUGCAUUGAUGCAAGACUAGGAGGAGAUAGUGAAGACAAAGUUAGGCAGGAUCAAAUUUGGGAGUAGGCUGCAAUGAACCAAAACUUUUUGCAACCAAAGGGGCCCCACUGACGUGGCCAGUUAUCAUCCUCACAAAUUGGUUACUUUUUGUUAACUGGUAAUGGGACGUUAACCGUAAUUUUUGUGCUGUCAUGGUAAAAGGAUGAGGAGUUUCUGGUAUUUUGGCAUAUCUGGGAUGAGGUUUACAUGCAGCUGGGUUGGUAUCUUGUUCAUCAAAACCACGAAAACUCAUUUGGUUUGGGCGUUUGGCAGCUCCUCCCCCUGGGCUUCAGACGGGAGGGGGGGAGUUGCGAAGUGAAUUACGAGUCGGAUCAAUUUGCAAAUCAAGCGAGUGACCUCUCCUUGCAAUGCAAUGAUUCAGUGCUCUCCGCUCGGUAAGAACAACUGGAAAGGGGAUUUUGUUCACAACCGAGAGCAGGUCGAUUCAAGCAUUAGCCUUGGUUCUGCUAAGGCAAGUGAGGUUAUAUUAACUCUAGGCAGUUCAAAAACAGUACAGGAAUUCCUUUUUGCUGCAAAGGAGAAAAAAAAGAUCAUUUCGGGUAUUUGUUGCAGAGGGAGCUCCAAGGUAUCAAGGGCAUCUUCUUGCAAAAGAAUUGGCUGGAAGAGGUUUACAAACAGCGCUGAUUACUGAUUCUGCAAUUUUUGCUAUGAUAUCUCAAGUGAUCAUGUUGGUGCUCAUGCUGUCAUGGCCAAUGGUGGUGUUAUAGCACCUGUUGGGUUGAAUAUGGUUGCACUUGCAGCCCAAAGGCAUGCUGUCCCUUUUGUUGUACUUGCUGGCAGUUACAAGUCUUGCUGAAUGAGUUAAGAUCUCCUUCUGAGCUGCUGGAUUUUGGAGAAUUCUCAGAUUGCAUGGAUUUUUGAAUUGGUACUGGUUCACUACUUUUGCAUGUUAGUCAAUCCUACAUUUGAUUUUGUGCCACCAAAGCUUGUUAGUCUAUUUAUCACUGAUAAGUAAUUAUCUAUUGCAGAUAGGCUUCACCUAUUGCAUUUCUAUUCAAUCAAAGGAAAAGAAUGAAAAUGGACAUAUAACAUUAUGAUUAGAUUCUGCCAUCAUAGCUUAUAUUUAGCCUCAACUCUAAAACCAUUAGCCUCAACUCUAAAACCAUCAAUUUCAGAUCAGUAUUUUGAACUUUUUCAGUUUCAUAUAUCCUGAUUUCCUAGAUAAAUGUACGUACCACUGACAAUCUCUCUUUGUUUCCAGUGGAGGCUAUAAUCCAUCAUUCAUGUCCCGGCUCAUCGCAGAUUAUUACUCUGCUGAUGAUUUGGUAAUCCAACGAAGACCUGCUACAGGAGUUGAGUUUAGCUCAUGCUUUUAUAUCAUAUAUUGGGGAGUACAAAAAGCUAUAAUGGUAAUGGUUGGAUGGAGAGAUGAUGAAAUCAAUUGUUAGUCUUAUGGAACCAUGGAGACCAUUGUUACUACUGGUAGAGUGUCAUGGAGAGCGUAUUAUGAGCUGUGAACCUUGGAUUGUACUGAUAGAAGCAAAAAGGACCAAUUUUGAAUUGUUGCUGGUAUCUCUUCUUUCAGUUAAUGGAUGCAUGGAAUUUUAGUAGAAAUACCGUUGGGUAUUUGGCUUUUUGCUUUCCACAUUUUCAGGUUUCCAACUAUCUGAGGAUUUGUGUUUUGUUUUCUUUGCACCUUGGGAAUUUAAUCAUUUUGUGAAGCCUUAUUAUAAUGCAAAGACAGACUAGGAAGUUGGAGUAACUUGCCAUGUUAUGUUUGCAUAAGUCCCUAUUUCCAGCAUGCUGAAGUUAGGAUCACAAAGGAGUAAUCGGACUUUGAUCCUUGUUAGUCUUGGAUAUGAUAAUGGAAAUAAAGUCACUUAUUUACUGCAA